GAUGAACGCUAGCGAUAGGCUUAACACAUGCAAGUCGAGGGGCAGCAUGGUCUUAGCUUGCUAAGACUGAUGGCGACCGGCGCACGGGUGCGUAACGCGUAUGCAACUUGCCUCACAGAGGGGGAUAACCCGUCGAAAGACGGACUAAUACCGCGUACACUUGGGAUAGGGCAUCCUGACCCAAGGAAAUGAAAUUCGCUGUGAGAUAGGCAUGCGUCCCAUUAGCUAGUUGGUGAGGUAACGGCUCACCAAGGCGACGAUGGGUAGGGGAACUGAGAGGUUGAACCCCCACACUGGUACUGAGACACGGACCAGACUCCUACGGGAGGCAGCAGUGAGGAAUAUUAGUAAAUGGGCGAGAGCCUGAACCAGCCAAGUCGCGUGAAGGACGACUGUCUUAUGGAUUGUAAACUUCUUUUAUACGGGAAUAACAAGAGUCACGUGUGGCUCCCUGCAUGUACCGUAUGAAUAAGCAUCGGCUAACUCCGUG
rnacentral:rRNA from 1 species